rnacentral:rRNA from 1 species
AUUGAACGCUGGCGGCAGGCUUAACACAUGCAAGUCGAGCGGAGAGAGGUAGCUUGCUACUGAUCUUAGCGGCGGACGGGUGAGUAAUGCUUAGGAAUCUGCCUAUUAGUGGGGGACAACAUUUCGAAAGGAAUGCUAAUACCGCAUACGUCCUACGGGAGAAAGCAGGGGAUCUUCGGACAGUGCGCUAAUAGAUGAGCAUAAGUCGGAUUAGCUAGUUGGUGGGGUAAAGGCCUACCAAGGCGACGAUCUGUAGCGGGUCUGAGAGGAUGAUCCGCCACACUGGGACUGAGACACGGCCCAGACUCCUACGGGAGGCAGCAGUGGGGAAUAUUGGACAAUGGGCGCAAGCCUGAUCCAGCCAUGCCGCGUGUGUGAAGAAGGCCUUAUGGUUGUAAAGCACUUUAAGCGAGGAGGAGGCUACUUUAGAUAAUACCUAGAGAUAGUGGACGUUACUCGCAGAAUAAGCACCGGCUAACUCUGUGCCAGCCGCCGCAGUAAAAC